UCCCUGGUGGCUCAGACAGUAAAGAAUCUGCCUGCAAUGCAGAAGACCUGGGUUCAAUCCCUGGGUCGGGAA
rnacentral:tRNA from 1 species